rnacentral:rRNA from 1 species
CAAUAGCGUAUAUUAAAAUUGUUGCAGUUAAAACGCUCGUAGUUGAACUUCAAGGGUAUUAUUAUUUUAAGUAACUCACUUGGCGAGAAUCUUGGCUCCGCCUCGAUAUCUUCAUGCCUUGUUGUAGUUCUUUUAAUUACAGACCCUUUGAGAGCCCAAUGAUUUAUCACUGGGUUUCUCGUUACUUUGAGUAAAUUAGAGUGUUCAAAGCAAACAGUUAAAGCGUUUUCGCGUUUGAAUACUAUAGCAUGGAAUAACAAAAUUGAACAAGUCAAAUUUUUUGUUCUUUUUUCUUAUUUUGGCUUAGUUACGAUUAAUAGGAGUAGCUUGGGGGCAUUUGUAUUCAGAUGUCAGAGGUGAAAUUCUUAGAUUUUCUGGAGACAAACAACUGCGAAAGCAUUUGCCUAAAAUACUUCCAUUAAUCAAGAACGAAAGUUAAGGGAGUGAAGACGAUCAGAUACCGUCGUAAUCUUAACCAUAAACUAUGCCGACUAGGUUUUGGAUGAAAAUUUUUAAAUAAGAUUUCCCUUCGGGGAUUUCUUAGAUUGCUUCCUUCAGUACCUUAUGAGAAAUCAAAGUCUUUGGGUUCUGGGGCGAGUAUUCGCGCAAGCGAGAAAGUUAAAAGAAUUGACGGAAGGGCACCACCAGGCGUGGAGCUUGCGGCUUAAUUUGACUCAACACGGGGAAACUCACUAGUUUAAGACAAGAGUAGGAUUGACAGAUUAAUAGCUCUUUCUUGAUUUCUUGGAUGGUGAUGCAUGGCCGUUUUUAGUUCGUGAAUAUGAUUUGUCUGGUUAAUUCCGAUAACGAACGAGAUCUUAACCUGCUAAUUAGCGGCGAGUACUCUAUAUCCUUUAUUGGGAGAUUGGUUUUGACGUUUAUGUGGGCAUAUUGAUUAAUCAAUUGGUUUACCUUUUGCUCUUUUUCAUUAUGAUUCUUGCGUUUACGACAUGCCUUUUUUCUAGUAAGGAUGUAUUCGCUUUAUUUAAUGCUUCUUAGAGGAACGAUGUGUGUCUAACACAAGGAAGUUUAAGGCAACAACAGGUCUGUGAUGUCCUUAGAUAUACUAGGCUGCACGCGUGCUACACUGAUAUGUAAAACGAGUGCUUAAAUUUAUAUCUGUGCUUAGGUGUUAAAGCCUAUGUUUCAGUAUAUAUUUUUCCUCCACUGAAAAGUGUAGGUAAUCUUUAUCAAUACAUAUCGUGAUGGGGAUAGAUUAUUGCAAUUAUUAAUCUUGAACGAGGAAUGCCUAGUAAGCAUGAUUCAUCAGAUUGUGCUGACUACGUCCCUGCCCUUUGUACACACCGCCCGUCGCUCCUACCGAUUGAAAGAUAGCGGCGAGUACUCUAUAUCCUUUAUUGGGAGAUUGGUUUUGACGUUUAUGUGGGCAUAUUGAUUAAUC